GUACCGUUAUGAUAACUUUUUACUUCUUCUUAAGUUUGUACUCGGUCGUGUUACUGAAAUUCUAUUUGUUAAUACAUACUGUACGUAAGAAGUUAAAUCUACCAACGAUAGUGAACCUACUUCUGUGUCGGUCUGUGCUUAAAAACAGUUUUCUGUACAACAAACAUUUUGUUUUAGUUAUCACUAGUGACCCGCCCCGCUUCGCACGGUUAACUUAUCCUGCACGAACUAAAAUAAAAUGCCAUUCUUUAGUGGACGCUGUUUGAGCACAGCCAAGUUGGUCGGCAAGACUGCUGUAAUUACGGGAUGUAGUUCCGGAAUUGGUAAAGAGACUGCUUUAGACUUUUAUAAAAGAGGAGCAAGAGUAAUUAUGGCUUGUCGUGAUUUAGAAAAGGCAGCAGCUGUCAAAGCUGAAAUAGAGGAAAAAUGCAAGCAUGUUGCAGAGACAGGAAAGCUGGUACUUGUAAAAUGUGAUCUAGCUUCUAUGAAGUCUGUCAGAGAAUGUGCUCAAACAAUAUUAGAUACUGAACAACAGAUUAAAAUCUUAGUUAAUAAUGCGGGAGUCAUGAUGUGCCCUAAGAGCUACACAGAAGAUGGGUUUGAAAUGCAGUUUGGGACUAACCACUUGGCACACUUCUUGUUGACUAUGCUCCUUCUGCCCCGCAUAAGGAACAGCACUCCAGCAAGGAUUGUUACUGUCUCCUCGGCAGCCCACACCAGAUAUGAUAUCAAGUUUGAUGACUUAAAUUAUAAAAAUCGGUCAUACAGCCCUGCAGAAGCUUAUUCUCAAAGCAAGCUAGCUAAUGUUUUGUUCUCGAAGGAACUGGCUUCUAAAUUGAAGGAACAUAACAUUGAUGGUAUACAUACAUACAGUUUGCAUCCAGGUGUAAUAAAAACUGAAUUGGGUAGACAUUUGGAUGACAGCUUGUUUUGGGGAGCGCGGCGACUAAUUGGCAUAAUGUUUAUGCCAUUCCUUAAGUCUCCUGAACUUGGUGCUCAAACAACCAUAUAUUGUUCUGUUGAUGAAAAAUGUGCAGAUGAAACUGGCUUAUAUUACAGUGAUUGUGUUGUUAAAACUCCAGCCAGGAAGGCUCUAAACGAGGAAUAUGCUAAGAAACUGUGGGAAGUUUCGAUGGAUCUUGUUGGACUAAAGAAUUACAACCCGUUUACAGCUGAGGACUGUGCACCAAAGCAGAAUUAGACCAAAACUUGAAGAUACUAAUAUGGUGGUGGGUGCUUGGAGUUGUGUUGCGCAUAUACACUUUCAGGCAUUAUCCUAACAAAGGAUUAUAUUAUUAAGAUUUUUACUAAAUUAGUCUUAACUAAGUGAUUAAGUUUGAACUCAGGCAAAAUACAGUUUUCGCCUAGGAAAACCAGUUUGGCCCGUAAUCGGAUUAGGCUGGUAACAUAUCUGUUUUUGAUUAUUUUUGAAGUGAAUACGGCGGCAAUUUGGUAAUCGAAAAAUUAGACUUGAUAAUACAAUUUAAAGAAAGCAUCACGUAAGUCAAGUAUCGUUACGUUACGGGCAUGUACAGACGGAUGUGGACUGCAUCCCGAUUGCAACUUGCAUGGGAACUGUACGCCGACGUUGCGGCAUAGGUAAUACUCCUAGGAUUAUUUGUGGAAAAACCUGAAUAAAACGCACAAUUUAAUUUUUUAUAUCAUCAUCUUCCUCGCAUUGUGUGGGCAUUUUGCCACGGCUCAUGGGAGCCUGGCAAAAAAUACCUUGGCUGGCUGGCCUGGGGAUGUGUAAAAUACAAUUUUAUUUUCGUAUUGUAGUUGAAAGGCAUUAGAACUAAAGGUACUUUUUAGGGUUCCGCACCUCAAAAGGAAUAAAACAUAACCCUUAUUGGGAUCACUCGUGCGUCUGUCUGUCCGUCUGUCACAGCCUAUUUUUUCGGAAACUACUGGAUCAAUUAAGUUUAAAUUUGGUACACAUAUGUAAAUUUGUGAAUUAAUCUUUAUUUUGAAAGCUACAUACAUUAUUGGUUAGUGGUACACAUUACACACAUUAGUGGUACAUUCAAAAUCAAUCUUAAUAUAUCUACUUAACAAUUUACAUAUACCCUAAACCCAACCCAAGAUUAUUUAGUGACCCAAAGAUGAAUAUGUAAUGUAAACAAAUGAAUUUUAAACAUGGGGGGUAAAUGAGAAAGUUAAAAAAUAAAGCUUUCUAAACUAUAUCGUGUUAUAAGUAUGUAUAUCAAAUGAAAGAACUCAUCUUGAGAAUUUCAAAUAUAAGUUUUUUAUAAUUUUAAAAUACAUAGGAUAAAAGUGAUUUAAGAAAAUAGCCAAAAAUUACCUUCUCCCCGCCUCCCUUAUCUCCGAAACUACUGGGUCUAAAAUUUGGAAAAAAAUACGCAAAAUAGUUCUUUACCUACAGAUGACAGAAAACCCUUUUAGAAAUGUGCAGUCAAGCGUGAGUCGGACUUAAUAUACAAAACCCUUGAAACGCGAGUUCGACUCGCACUUGGCCGGUUUUUAUAUUAUUAUUUAUUAGAUAUGAUAUACCUAAUACAGUGAAACCUGGAUAAGUGAGAUCUCAAGGGACGAGCAAAUUUGUCUCACUUAAAGAGGUUUCCCACUUACCCAGGCUCCCAGUUAGCCAGGUACAAAUAAAUUUCUGUCUCAUUUACAGAGGGUUCCAUUAAUAGAGGUGAGAAUAGAGUAUAUAUCAGUUAUAGAGGUGGUUAUUAAGGUAAUUAGUAAUUAGGUAUCUUUAAAAAAUAAAUAAGGUAAAAAUAAUCCUUGUCCCUAAAUAUUUUUUAAGUCUGUUUAUAUAAUUCUUUGAAUUUAUUUUGAAUGAUUCUCCAAAGGAUAGAUAUUUCAACAUUAAAUUUAAUUUGAUACGGACUUUAUUGCGUAUUAGAAAUUCAAUAAAUGAAAAUUUAUUUUUUCGUGUUACUUAUCAAAAUUUCAGCUUUCGUUUCGGUAGUUUUAACUACUUACAUAAAUUAACUAAAUCAAAGUUUGAAGUUGUUUAGACACAAUUAGGCAAAUGCGGAAUUUGUGGAUAGACUAAGAGUUAGUAAGAAUACGGAAAUUGUUUAAUGAAGUCCAAGUUAGAGAGGUCAUAGAUUGACGUUAUCUCAGAUACAGAAGUCAAUUCCCUAUAAAAUUCUAAAAAACAAUUAGGAAAAUGUAAUCUUAUAAAUAUAGUCUCAGUAAAAGAGGUAAAAUACACUCUCUGUCUCAGUUAUAGAGGUAAAUGUGACUAUAAAAUCACAACAACAAAUCCCAGUUAUAGAGGUUCGUUUUAUCUCAGUUACAGAGGUAAUUCAGUGCUAAAGUGUCGGGACCGCACCAUGAGUCCCAGCUAUAGAGGUUUCUCACUUAUCCAGGUCCCACUUAACCAGGUUUCACUGUACAUGUUAUUUUGAUUUGA